rnacentral:rRNA from 1 species
CACGGAGUUAGCCGGUGCUUAUUCAUUGAGUACCUUCAGCUCCGGACACGUCCGGAGGUUUAUUCCCCAAUAAAAGCAGUUUACAAUCCAUAGGACCUUCUUCCUGCACGCGGCAUGGCUGGUUCAGGCUUGCGCCCAUUGACCAAUAUUCCUCACUGCUGCCUCCCGCAGGAGUCUGGUCCGUGUCUCAGUACCAGUGUGGGGGACCACCCUCUCAGGCCCCCUACCCAUCGUCGCCAUGGUGAGCCGUUACCUCACCAUCUAGCUAAUGGGACGCAUGCCCAUCUCAUACCGUAACCUUUAAUUAUCAAACAUGCGAAUCAAUAAUACUAUGGGGGAUUAAUCCGAAUUUCUUCGGGCUAUACCCCAGUAUGAGGUAGGUUGCAUACGCGUUACGCACCCGUGCGCCGGUCGUCAGCAUUAAAGCAAGCUUUAAUCUGCUACCCCUCGACUUGCAUGUGUUAGGCCUGCCGCUGCGUUCAUCCUGAGCCAGGUAA